GUAAAGGUGUGGUCAAAAGCUGACGGAAUCAUAUAAUCUCAUUCAUGCUGGGUGCGUGGUUUCAUUCAUCAACUUGAAUUUCCUUUUCUUUUCAACAAACUCAAUCACACCUCCAAACUCUCUCUACUUCUCUUGGAAUAAUAAGGUUCUGUCUCGGGUCCAUGUUACGUUGUAAGUUGUAACAAAUAGCUGAUAUCAGACCCUUUGUUCAGAGAAUGCUUAAAUGUCUUUAGUAAGGAACCUGUGAGCGCAACUAAGAUCCAGUAACGAGUUCAAGCAACUACUUUCUGUGUGAAUGGGGUAGAAUUUUUGAAGAACUAAAGGAACAAACUAAGAUACUAAGAUGGUGUUGCAUGUCCAUAAGUUGUAUCAAAGUUGGGUUAUGUUAAUCAAGUUUCUGAAUGAUGCUUAUUACAAAGCCUGCGGGUAAGCUUCAAACUCUAAAUUCUAAUUCAAAAUGAACAUUUUUGCAUUGGAUACUUUAGUUUCUGAUAUGGAAAGGUAAAGUGCAUUUAGAAAUGUCAAAGAAAUAAAAAUAGUGUGAGAGAUAGCGAGUUAGGAGAGUGAAAGAGAGAAAAAAGGAGAGGAUCCAUGUCCAUAAUUCAUCGUUAAUUUUGAACUGAAUUUGUAACCGAGUCAAUUACGAUUUUCUUACUUCAAUCAAAACAUGUGGGUGGGGGGGAGGGGGGGGUACAUAUAUAGAGAUAGGAAAGAGGGCUCAAUAGGACUUCUCUAUACUCCUUUUGUUACCUUUUGUAUGAGUAGUACAACUUAGUGACUCAUUUUGUACCCCAAUUUAUUAGAUUCUUACCAUUUUAGCUUCAUGAUAUGUACGUUUAAUUAAACACCAACUUUUGAAAGCUUUGGUUGUUUAUUUCCCUUCAAUUAAACCAUUAAUUACAUUGAUAAAACCAUGUUUUAAUCGAUUAAUUAGACAAAUCAGAUUAGAACUACAAUUGAUCAAGAAUAGUGAAUUGUAGGAGAUUGAUAAAAUCAUGAGUUAAUCAACUAAUUAGACAAUCGAUUAAUUAAAUAAAUCAGAUUAGAACUACAAUUUAUCAAGAAUAGUGAAUUGCAAGAGAUUGAUAAAAUCAUGAGUUAAUCAACUAAUUAGACAAAUCAGUUAUAAAGAAAUUGACAAACCAAAAAAAGAGGUAUUUUAGAAUACCUCAAACUAAUCAAUGUUGAAAUCACGGCAGUGUGCCAGUGUCGAACCCCAGUCUUUGGGGUGGGAGCAAACCAACCCAACCAACUGGACACCGGCGAUGAAUCAAUCGUAAAAAUUGUAUAUACAUGUCUCAUCUUUCAUGUUUUGAGUAACUUAUUUCCUUUUAUUUCUCUAGUAGAUUCUUUCCAUUUUAGCUUGAUGAUAUGUAAGUUUAAUUAAACACCAAAUUUCAAGCUUUGUUUGUUUAUUUCCCUUCAAUUAAUCCAUUAAUUUGAUUGAUAAAACCAUGUUUUAAUCGAUUAGACAAAUCAGAUUAGAACUACAAUUGAUCAAGAAUAGUGAAUUGUAGAGAUUGAUAAAAUCAUGAGUUAAUCAACUAAUUAGACAAAUCAGUUAAAGAAAUAGACAAACCAAAAAAAGAGGUAUUUUAGAAUACCUCAAACUAAUCAAAUGAUGAAAUCACAGUCGCGUGCCAGUGUCGAACCCCAGUCUUUGGGGUGGGGGGAGCAAACCAACCCAACCAACUAGACACCGGCGAUAUAUCAAUUGAAAAAAUUGUAUAUACAUGUCUCAUCUUUCUCUUUCUGAGUUUGUCUUCUAAGAGUCUCUGACGGAGGCGCCAAUGAGGAAGUUAGGUUGCCACAAUUAUUUAUUUUUGUUUUUGCGUGGACAACUUUUCAUCGAACUUAAUUUCCUUUUAUUUCUCUCGUUUUUUUGGACAGUUUCCUUUUAUUUCUUUAUCUAGUAGAUCAUUUCCAAGCUGACCGAUCCUCUCCUGCCUUUUUUGUUUAGCUUUCCCUCCUUUUCUUAAAUCCUUCUUCACUUACUCGAUCAACAAUUGGAUUACUACCACCAUUGGGCCUCACCUCCAAGAAUUUGAUCUCGCCCUCUUUACCGACGGCUUCAACCUCCAUCUCAAUCUCCUCACUUGCUCUAACCUAGUCUUUCUUAGGUAAAACUUCGUCUUCCAUCCUCUUUUAUUCAUUUUUAAUUUUUAGGAUUGAAUAUAUCUUUAGUCUUUAUAAAGUGACUGAAAAGUAUAUAGAAAGUUAGAAACUAAACAAAUCUCUGAGAUAUGAUAGGAUCUAAAAACAUAAUAUGUUUAGUUAGGUUGAUCAAAUUUAAUUGAAAUAUAUGAGUUGAUCCAUGAUGAUAACAUGACAUUCAUCUACUGUAAUGUACAAUGUACUUCAGUGUCUGUGGUUAUAUGACUUAUAUCUUGUUGCUGUUGCAAGAUUCUUUGGGGAUUUUCUUGUCAUCAUUGAAGGUAUCUGAAUAGCCUUUUCUCUAACUGCCCCAUUCUCGAAACUCUAGAACUUUCCUUUAGACCUGGUUCUUUGGCCAAACUUCGGGUGCCAACUACCUCAUCUAAAGCCUUGGCUUCUCUCUUUUCAACUCAAGUGUUCUGCUCGACAUGCUUAAAAAAUGUCCUGUGUUACAAACUCUUAGUGAGCUGCUUUUAGUGCCUAUCAUCUUGUUAGUGUGUAGUUUUGUUACUUUUCAAUUGUUAGUUAGAUGUUAGCUGUUAGCUAUCACUAUGACAAUUAAGUUAUAAUUUCCAUUUUUUGCAGUUGGCUAUUAGUAGCAAUUCUGCAUAUAGGUAGUGCAUUGUACUCCAACAGAUGAUUGGACCUCUGUUCCAAGACAGAAUUUCCUUAUUUAUGUGCUUAACUAGUGCCCCGGGGGCACUGUUUAGCAUUUUCCUUUUUUUUUUUUGCUAUUUAAUUUUAGCUUCUAGCCCAUACUUCUUACACUCUAAGGACAAUGUCAUUGGCGUUAGAACAAGAUGCAAUUUAAUGAUGACAAUCUUCAUCGGCCUACAACUGCUGGUCCUCUGUUUGAGAUGGGAUAGGUGUAAUAUAUAUCAUGCUUUAGAUCCACCCAUAGCACAAAGUUUGCUUGCUUAGUAUGUUAGUUUAAUUAAGUAAUCUCUGCUAUUCAACUAUUUAUUAGCUUUUGUUCUAAGAGAAUAAUCACCAAAUUCAUGCGAAUUUUGAAUACAAAGUUCACUUAAAUAGAUGUUUCAUUUCAAACUACUCUAGUUCUCGUGCUUUCCAACUAAAACAUGAGAUAUAUUGAGUGGUAAGUUUAAUUGGUUGAAGGUAAGAAGGAAUCAACGAAAUGGUUUUCCUAUGUCAAGUGUAAAAAAAAUUCUUGUGUAGGAUAUGUGUGUGUGUAUAAAAUUAGAAGUUUUAUCGCCAUUUGAAAAAAAAUUACAGAGUUUUUUCCUAAGGUCUCAAUACAUGUUUGUGACAUUCCUAGAUACAGGGUAAUAUGGAUGGGGCUAUCAAAGGUAGAUAAUUUAGAGCAAUGGGGGUGUAGAGAUUUAUCGAGAAAUAGGAAUGUUAGAUGGCUUUUAUGGUUUUAACAACCAUAUGGCUUAUUCAACUACUUGUACGGUUGAGUUGAGUUGCACUUGUAUGCUGAGGUUGUGGUUUGAAGCAUCAUUGGCGGACUUUGCUAUAAGUACGAAAAGACGAACGAAUGCAGAAAAUUCAUGUCUUGCUAAGUGAUGACUAGAUUGCUAGAGUUUUUAAUGUUUUGUAUUGUUUUACUGUGAAACUAACUCUUGUGCAAAUGUCUUAGCUAACUUGAGGUGCCUUCCACCUCCUUCUUUGGACGUGCUUCUGCUUCAUACGCCCUAUAUAAAGAUUGUGUCUAAUGGAGUUAUGAACUUACGAGUGUAUGCAAGGUGUUUCCUAAAUCCCUCAAAUAAACAUCUUCUGUCCACACCAUGCUGAAUUGAAAGGUAAAUGUUACUAACUUGUGAAAGCUGUACAACCAUAUAAGUGAAUUUGUUCUGAUUGGAGCUUUUCUCUAAUGACAUGGCAAUCCAACUCAAUGGGCAGAUAAAUGGACGAUUUACUGUUACAAUAGAUAGAGGUUGGUUGAAGAAACUUCACACGAAGGUCUUGAAAAAUGUAGUGAAGCCAUUGUAUUUCAUAGGUUAAAGAAGCUAAGGCCCUGUCUUAUGCUGUCCUGAAGAUCUCGGGGCCAAUUUUCUCCUCGAAUAUGGUAAAGAAUGCUUUCUAACUCCUUGGGUUUGGCAUCGAUUUCCAAUCCUCAGUAGAAAUGUUCUGCACAAAUUCAUCUGACAUAAAAUAAAAAUGGAGAUUUUCAAGAUUCUCCAAGUGUGGGAUGCCAUUGGGUAUCUUCUUCAGUCUUUCGAUUCCUAAAUGCAGCUUUUUCAGAGAAGGCAGUGCUCCUUUGUCAAUAAUAACUGUCAUUGAUUUGGAUUUGAUUUCAUUGCCAACUAAGCUUAGAAGGCAGUGCUCCUUUGUCAAUCUUGCUUUGAUGUAAUCUUUUACACUCACUUUUUUCAUUUUGUAAUAUUUUUCCUUCAUCAAUAUUAUACACUUUUGAGCUAUUUUCUCUCUUCUCCAAUGGAUGAUGCCAUGUUUCUUAACAUGGUAUCAGAGCAAAUUUGGUAUCCACCUUGAAGAAAAUUUUCCGCUGCAUUUUCUCGAGAAAAUUUAUUUUUCUCAACUUUCAUUUUCUAUCGCUCUUUCUUUUCUAUUUUUCCUGAGAAAUUCAAUUCUCUAGUACUGUUAAUUUUCCAUCUGAGAAAAUCACUUUUCUCAUCUAUCGGUUGCGAAUUCCGUUUUCUUGAUUUCAAUUUUGAUUCCGUUUUGCGAAUUUCAUGAUUCCAAUUCAUGUUCUAGAUCCGAUUUCUUGAUUUCUUUUCGAUUUGAUUCUUGUUCCGUGUUCGAUUGCGAUUUUGUUUUAAUCGCAACUUUAAUCUCUUCCUUUUUCCCCAAAUUCUAGGGUUUGCGAUUCCAUUUGCAAUCGCAUUUCAGUUCACUGAAUCACUCA